UAUCGUUUAUUUGAUAGUGCCUUACUACUUGGAUAACCGUGGUAAUUCUAGAGCUAAUACAUGCUAAAAACCCCGACUUCGGAAGGGGUGUAUUUAUUAGAUACAAAACCAAUGCCCUUCGGGGCUCUUUGGUGAUUCAUGAUAACUAUACGAAUCGCACGGCCUUGCGCCGGCGAUGGUUCAUUCAAAUUUCUUCCCUAUCAACUUUCGAUGUUUGGGUAUUGGCCAAACAUGGUUGCAACGGGUAACGGAGGGUUAGGGCUCGACCCCGGAGAAGGAGCCUGAGAAACGGCUACUACA
rnacentral:rRNA from 1 species